UACGAAGGGUGCUAGCGUUGUUCGGAAUUACUGGGCGUAAAGCGCACGUAGGCGGCUUUGUAAGUUAGAGGUGAAAGCCCGGGGCUCAACUCCGGAAUUGCCUUUAAGACUGCAUCGCUAGAAUUGUGGAGAGGUAAGUGGAAUUCCGAGUGUAGAGGUGAAAUUCGUAGAUAUUCGGAAGAACACCAGUGGCGAAGGCGACUUACUGGACACAUAUUGACGCUGAGGUGCGAAAGCCAGGGGAGCAAACAGG
rnacentral:rRNA from 1 species